rnacentral:lncRNA from 1 species
AUUUCCUAACUGAAUGUGACAUUUGUCCAUAUGCUUGCACAUAUAGUUGACAUGUAUUAAUAACACCACUGAGGUUGUAAACGUUAGGUCUAUGGGUCAUUGUGAUCAUGGUGUCUUUAAAAUUGGACCAUUCUCUCCAAUAAGAAUCUCAUGCAAAUGGACAGAACAAUGUUACAGAAAAAACUAUACUAAGAGACAUGUAUAGCCUAGUGUAGGUCUAGCCUACUGAUAAGGUCCGCAUUUUUACAACUAAAGCUACUGGCUACCAUUUAUUAUCUCAUUCUAAAAUACAUCCUCUACAGGACUUUUGUUGUGAAAGAUGGGUUUUUAUGUCUCUCCUUCGUAAGGUGACGUCACGCUCAUGAAAUUGACAGGCCACCUGUGGGGACGAAUCGGGAUUUAAAUGGAUAUGGCCAUCAUAAAAACUGUAGGUUGUGAUACGGCACAUGGCAGAAAGAUGCACAGUCAAUACUUUCGAUUCCAGUUCCAGAGGCGGCGCAGACAGCAUCUGCAAGAUGUAUACGUGGGACGACUGGUCAAACCGCAAUAGUUCAUGUCGGGAGGGAUGCUGAUCAUAUCAACAGCAAACAGAUGUAUUUCAUAUCAAAUUAAGCCCGUUGGAUUGUACAAUAGCAACCAUCUUCUAUUUGAUAAAGAUACCCAGCAGGUGAUCCCCCAUGGAGCAGCAGGGAGACUGAGACCCCUGUUUGAUCUGGCCUUGUUACUGGCGUCUGAAGGAUGAACGCUCUGCUCCGCACAACACAAAAUGAUCCAGGGUGAGAGAGAGAGCUUGCAAAAUCUU